CAGCAGCAGCCGCGGUAACACGGAGGGUGCAAGCGUUAUCCGGAUUUAUUGGGUUUAAAGGGUCCGUAGGCGGAUCUGUAAGUCAGUGGUGAAAUCUCACAGCUUAACUGUGAAACUGCCAUUGAUACUGCAGGUCUUGAGUAAAUUUGAAGUGGCUGGAAUAAGUAGUGUAGCGGUGAAAUGCAUAGAUAUUACUUAGAACACCAAUUGCGAAGGCAGGUCACUAAGAUUUAACUGACGCUGAUGGACGAAAGCGUGGGGAGCGAACAGGAUUAGAUACCCCAGUAGUCCCUGUCUCUUAUAA
rnacentral:rRNA from 1 species